rnacentral:rRNA from 1 species
CCUGGCGGCCAUAGCGAGUGUGAACCACCCGAUCCCUUCCCGAACUCGGAAGUGAAACCGCUCAGCGCCGAUGAUAGUGUGGGGCCUCCCCAUGCGAAAGUAGGACACUGCCAGGG